rnacentral:rRNA from 1 species
CUGAUAAUUAUUAAAGGGCUGCAGUAUUUUGACUGUACAAAGGUAGCAUAAUCAAUAGUCUUUUAAUUGAUGACUUGUAUGAAAGAUUGGAUGAAAUAUAUACUGUCUUUUAUUUAUAUUAAGAAUUUAAUUUUUUAAUUAAAAAGUUAAAAUAAAUUUAAAAGACGAGAAGACCCUAUAGAGUUUUAUAUUUGAGUUUAUUGAAUUUAUUUUUUAGGUUAAUGAUUGAUAUGAAUUAAAAAUAUUUUAUUGGGGUGAUAGAAAAAUUUAAUAAACUUUUUUUUUAAUAAAUAAUUCAUUAAUUUAUGAUUAAUUGAUCCAAAAAUUUUGAUUAUAAGAAAAAAUUACCUUAGGGAUAACAGCGUAAUUUUUUUUUUUAGUUCAAAUAAGAAAAAGAGUUUGCGACCUCGAUGUUGGAUUAAGAUAUAAUUUAUAUGCAAAAGUAUAAAGUUUGAUC